UCAGAUUGAACGCUGGCGGCAGGCCUAACACAUGCAAGUCGAGCGGAUGAAGAGAGCUUGCUCUCUGAUUCAGCGGCGGACGGGUGAGUAAUGCCUAGGAAUCUGCCUAUUAGUGGGGGACAACGUUUCGAAAGGAACGCUAAUACCGCAUACGUCCUACGGGAGAAAGCAGGGGACCUUCGGGCCUUGCGCUAAUAGAUGAGCCUAGGUCGGAUUAGCUAGUUGGUGAGGUAAAGGCUCACCAAGGCGACGAUCCGUAACUGGUCUGAGAGGAUGAUCAGUCACACUGGAACUGAGACACGGUCCAGACUCCUACGGGAGGCAGCAGUGGGGAAUAUUGGACAAUGGGCGAAAGCCUGAUCCAGCCAUGCCGCGUGUGUGAAGAAGGUCUUCGGAUUGUAAAGCACUUUAAGUUGGGAGGAAGGGCAGUAAGUUAAUACC
rnacentral:rRNA from 1 species